UUCCACAUAGGGAUGGCUGGUUUCUUUAUCCUCCUUCCUGACAUCAGAACAAUUUUUUAAGUAGAUUUACUUAAUUAUUUCCCCAGAAAGAAUUCAUUCUGUGAGAUAUGGAGCUGUUAUCUAUAGACAGACUUCUAAGAUGUUCUCAAAUACAGUAUUCCCCACUCUUGGCGUAUACACAUCUUCUCUCAAUUAUUCAAUUAAAUAGUAAUCUAGGUACUAUUUAACUGAGCAGGAUUCUAUGGGGCCUUCCCAGGAUAGACCUCCACCUACAUAUUCCACCUGCCUUUUGUCUAUAGAAAAAGCUCCGUCAAAAAAUAAAUUUAAUCAUAGAAGUGAGAAAAUGCCCAAAGAAAGUAAAACAGUCAAACAAGACAAAAUAAGACUUUAGUCAUUCAACAAAGUCAAGAACCUUUAGUUCUUCCUCAAGGACUAUAUAUAUAGAUAAUACUCUGGGCCAAGUGUUUUCAAGCUGUUCUGCAGACUGAAAUUCUCAUCAGGUAAAAGAUGUUAACUAAAUGCCCACAAACCAGCUGAAACCAGAAAGCUGAUGAUACUGACUUCCAAUUAACUCACCACCAACCAAUCAGAAGAAGGCCCAGGAGCUGACCACACCCCACUCCUUGGACACUAUAAGACUCCCCACUACCGGCUCCAGGGCGGCAUGCACAGUUUAGAGGGUGCUGAUCUGCUGUGGUUCUCUGAGUCUGGUGGAGAAGUGAGGCUAUUCAUUUUCACUUCCCCCAAAGCUCUGUCUCCAUGAUUCAGUUCUGUGGCGGUGCGCAGAGGCCGAGUUUAAGCAACACUCCGGAGCAGGAAUUCCACAGGUCUGAGUCAGAGUCAUGAGAACCUGAUGCACCUUUUUUGGCUUGGAGAUGAAGGCGGCCUUGCAGCAAGGGACACUGGUGGAGUGUCCCACCGAGGAGCAGCCCCAGCUGACGUCAGUCAGAGAGGAAACCAGAGAUCACAGUCUUAAAACUGUAAAAAACUGAAUUUUUCUUGGAAUAUAAACACUUUGAAAUUAAACAUGGAAGCUGACUUCUCCCAGAACCUCCAGAAGAACUCAGCCUGAGGGACCCCUCUGAGUCAGAUGUGUGUUCACCCUGAGAAGACCAGCCAUGGGGUAGCAGGCUUUUGACCCACAGAAAUGGUGAGAUCUGCUUCUGUUGCGUUCUCUUGCAGAAUACAUGCUGAACCACUAAACAGUGCUGCAGAUGAUUCACAUUCAACCCAAUCCAAUAACAUCUGUUGGGUGUGGACUGUGUACCACUGUGCCACAGGAUGUUAGACUAGAAGUGGAAGGAAACAGCAUCAUGAAAGUCCUGGAAUUGAAUUGGGAAUACAAUUUUGUAGCAAUAUUUAACUGGGUACUUGAUUUUUAGAGUCAAGAUUGUAUAUGUAGUCACUGAGAAAUGAAAAUUACCAGAAAGGGUUGGAGUUGUUUAGUGACAAAUUAGAGUGAGUCUUGUUCUACACUCUGAAGGAAUUAUAAAUUAAAAAAAAAAAAAUUUACUCAUUCUGAAGCUACAUUUUAUCCAGUUCCUGCUACAUCUCUUCUCUAAGCAGACACAUAUACACGCAUACAAAUCUCCAUUCUUUUGUCUGAAUGAGACACAGAAACAGAAACAGAGAGCUAGUAACCAACAUAAAGGAAAAGGCAAAAGACAGACUUUGUUUGUGUCUAGAGGUCUAUAUUACCCUGCCUUCAAGGAGAAUGCAUUUUCAUGGAAGCAGUAAAAAUGUAUAAAAUAAAUGUUAAAAUGCAAAUAUAAACAUUAAUUAUAAUUAUAUCCAUAAGGGAAAAACUGUUUUGGACUAGGUUAGAGCUUUGAGAAUAAGCAAGAUUCAUCAGGAAAAAUUUGGUGGAAAAAAAAGCAAAAAAAAAAAAAGGGGGGGGAAGCAAUUUAAGAGAGAGAGAGGUUAUUAUUUAUUGUUUUGUUCAGCAAGAGACCAAUUAUAAACUUUCUAGAAACUGUGAUUUAAGAAAAAUACUCCUCUGGGCUUAGCAGAACAAAAUACACAUUAAAGACAAUGCAUUAGGGAGGAAGGAUAAAAAAGAAUGAGUGUGUGAAAGAGAGAAUAAAAGAAAGUUAUGGGAGGAGAGAGAGCAGCUAGUAGGGAUUGAAUAAUUUUGUAAAGUUGCUGAAUAACUUAUGUGGAAUGGAAGCUAUAACAAUAAAUAAUACUGUUUUCUAUCUAAGAACAAGGCAUAUAGAAUCAGGCUGCCUGGGUAUGAAACAUGAAACCUAAUAUCCCUCUCAUUAGACUAGGAUAACCUUUGAUGAGCUUCAGUUUCCAGGGAGUUGAUGAUAAUCCUUAUCUCAGGUAGUUUUCAUGCAGGUUAUACAAGAGAAUGCAUGUAGCAUCUAAUAAUCCAUUGCCUCUUUAUAGCAGAUUGUCAUUGGAGUUUAGUCUUUUCUAUUAUACUAUUAAGGAAUAAGGCUUCAGUCCAUUAAGUCAGGGCUAACUAAUAGAAAGCUUUUAAAGCAGCAGUUUAUACUGAUACGGAGGUGUCUCUCAUUGUAGGAGAAGUAGCGAAAAAAUAUUGAAAUGCGGUAGGUGGAAAUUUAGGUGCAAAACACAGAAUAUAACAAGAACUAAGUGACUAAAAUCUGGUUAGAAAAUAAGUACUUAUAUAAGGAUUUUCACUGAGGCAGAAACAUAUUUGGAUUCAAAAGAAGUGGAAAGAAGCAGCUGAACCUACAAGCUAACAAAUUUGGGAAGUAAAAGAAGAUAGGCAAUGAAGAAUGUCUUGGGAUUUCUGGGUUGUGCGAUAGGGAGAUUUGCUGGAGUGACUGCUCUGAUAAGAAUGAUGAACAAUGGAGAUGGCUGUGAGGGAAUUACAGGAAGUUCCUUCCUAGAAAAGAGAAACCACAGUGAGCAAGUGAGUAUUAAAAUUCAUUCUACUGGUGAGUCAGGCAAAAAUGAUCUUAUAUAUAAGCUUAAAAUAUACUGAUUCCUAAUGCAUCCAUGAAGAAGCUAAUGAGUCCUGUGCAUUCUGCUCCCCUAUCAACAAGAUCAGAAAACAUUCAUCAUGUUUUGGAGCUGUAGAUUUUCCAAAUGUAAAUGCAUAAAAACCACAAAUAGGAAUGUAUUUACUUUAAGUAACAGCUGAUCCAAAAUACAUAAAUUAGUUUGUAUAACAUUAGCAAAGUUUCAAUAAAGUAGUUUAAUAGUCCAUUUACUUAAAAAAUCAUUGCAUUUGGGAGGCCUUAUAUGCCUAUUCUUUGUUGUCGUUGUUUGUUUAAUUAAAUGAAGCUGAGAACCCCAUGUUUACCUAAACAAAACUAACAUAUCUCUUUGAAACAUAUUUUCACUUUAGAUUGCCACUGUAAAAAUGUGUUUAUUUCUGUAUAAUGAUACAUCUGUUCACUGCCUACUGAUAAUUUUCUUUUACAAUUUUCUUCAUGCCCGUGAGCAAUUUAUUUAUAAAAUUCUACACUUUAACAUUGAACCAAAAAAUGCCAAAUAUCAAAACCAAGCAUAUUAAAUAUUGAUAAAUAUAUAUGUGUGUAUAUAUAUAUUUAUUGUUGUUGCACCCACAGCAUAUAGAAGUUCUUGGGCUAGGGACUGAAUCUGAACUGCAGCUGUGACCCAUGGCAUAGCUGUGGCAAUGCCAGAUCCUUAACUCACUGAGCCGGGCCUGGGACUGAACUUUGUGAGAGUCGCUGGAGAGACAACACUGGAUCCUCAACCCACUGUGCCACAGCAGAAACUCUGAGAUGUAUUUAAAAUUAAACAUACUUGCAACAAAUCAGACUGAUGACCAAUCAGUUAUGCUGUUUGUAGAACACCUUCAUAAAUGUCCAUGUGGUGUCUUAAAUCAGAUUCUACAAACUAAUAUUCAAGAAUGAGACAGAUAACUUUUUCACUGGAAACUGGUACAUUAAAUUGGAUACUUCUUAAUGUUAAAAUAUUGAGUGUCACUUAAUACUAUAAAACAGAACAAAAAAUUAUAGUGCAGUUUUUACUUGCAUCUGGAAAAAUAUCUUUUUUAUUACUCAAAUGAAUUUAUCACAUCUGUAGAUGUAUAAUAUCAUAACAAUCCAAUUUCAC